AGACCCGAAACCCGGUGAUCUAGCCAUGGGCAGGUUGAAGGUUGGGUAACACUAACUGGAGGACCGAACCGACUAAUGUUGAAAAAUUAGCGGAUGACCUGUGGCUGGGGGUGAAAGGCCAAUCAAACCGGGAGAUAGCUGGUUCUCCCCGAAAGCUAUUUAGGUAGCGCCUCGUGAAUUCAUCUCCGGGGGUAGAGCACUGUUUCGGCUAGGGGGCCAUCCCGGCUUACCAACCCGAUGCAAACUGCGAAUACCGGAGAAUGUUAUCACGGGAGACACACGGCGGGUGCUAACGUCCGUCGUGAAGAGGGAAACAACCCAGACCGCCAGCUAAGGUCCCAAAGUCAUGGUUAAGUGGGAAACGAUGUGGGAAGGCCCAGACAGCCAGGAUGUUGGCUUAGAAGCAGCCAUCAUUUAAAGAAAGCGUAAUAGCUCACUGGUCGAGUCGGCCUGCGCGGAAGAUGUAACGGGGCUAAACCAUGCACCGAAGCUGCGGCAGCGAACGUAUCACUUAAAGCGAUUCAGCGGGUUACGAUUGACGGAGCGAAGCGACGUCAAAGCGUAUACAAAGUCGAGUCGGUUUAAGGAUACGUUCGUUGGGUAGGGGAGCGUUCUGUAAGCCUGUGAAGGUGUGUCGUGAGGCAUGCUGGAGGUAUCAGAAGUGCGAAUGCUGACAUAAGUAACGAUAAAGCGGGUGAAAAGCCCGCUCGCCGGAAGACCAAGGGUUCCUGUCCAACGUUAAUCGGGGCAGGGUGAGUCGACCCCUAAGGCGAGGCCGAAAGGCGUAGUCGAUGGGAAACGGGUUAAUAUUCCCGUACUUGGUGUUACUGCGAAGGGGGGACGGAGAAGGCUAUGUUGGCCGGGCGACGGUUGUCCCGGUUUAAGCGUGUAGGUGUGUGUUCCAGGUAAAUCCGGUUCACUUUAACACUGAGGCGUGAUGACGAGGCACUACGGUGCUGAAGCAACAAAUGCCCUGCUUCCAGGAAAAGCCUCUAAGCAUCAGGUAACAUCAAAUCGUACCCCAAACCGACACAGGUGGUCAGGUAGAGAAUACCAAGGCGCUUGAGAGAACUCGGGUGAAGGAACUAGGCAAAAUGGUGCCGUAACUUCGGGAGAAGGCACGCUGACAUGUAGGUGAAGUGAUUUA
rnacentral:rRNA from 1 species